rnacentral:rRNA from 1 species
AACGUAGGAGGCGAGCGUUAUCCGGAUUUACUGGGCGUAAAGCGCGUGCAGGCGGCCCGGCAAGUUGGCUGUGAAAGCCCCCGGCUCAACCGGGGGAGGUCGGUCAAAACUGCCGGUGCUAGAGGAUGGGAGAGGGAGAUGGAAUUCCGGGUGUAGUGGUGAAAUGCGUAGAGAUCCGGAGGAACACCAGUGGCGAAAGCGAUCUUCUGGCCCAUCACUGACGCUCAGACGCGAAAGCUAGGGGAGCGAACGGGAUUAGAGACCCCGGUAGUCCUAGCCGUAAACGAUGUAGACUGGGCGUGGGCGGGUUCAAAUCCGUCCGUGCCGCAGCCAACGCGAUAAGUCUACCGCCUGGGGACUACGGCCGCAAGGUUAAA